rnacentral:rRNA from 1 species
UUCCGUAGGUGAACCUGCGGAAGGAUCAUUACCUAGAGUUUGUAGACUUCGGUCUGCUACCUCUUACCCAUGUCUUUUGAGUACCUUCGUUUCCUCGGCGGGUCCGCCCGCCGAUUGGACAACAUUCAAACCCUUUGCAGUUGCAAUCAGCGUCUGAAAAAACAUAAUAGUUACAACUUUCAACAACGGAUCUCUUGGUUCUGGCAUCGAUGAAGAACGCAGCGAAAUGCGAUAAGUAGUGUGAAUUGCAGAAUUCAGUGAAUCAUCGAAUCUUUGAACGCACAUUGCGCCCCUUGGUAUUCCAUGGGGCAUGCCUGUUCGAGCGUCAUUUGUACCUUCAAGCUCUGCUUGGUGUUGGGUGUUUGUCUCGCCUCUGCGUGUAGACUCGCCUUAAAACAAUUGGCAGCCGGCGUAUUGAUUUCGGAGCGCAGUACAUCUCGCGCUUUGCACUCAUAACGACGACGUCCAAAAGUACAUUUUUACACUCUUGACCUCGGAUCAGGUAGGGAUACCCGCUGAACUUAAGCAUAUCAAUAAGCGGAG